GUAGGAGCCGGCUUGCUGGCGAUGGCGGAUUGUCAGUUGGCAUUGAUGUCGACUGAUCCACCGCUAUCGCCAGCAAGCCGGCUCCUAC
rnacentral:ncRNA from 2 species